rnacentral:rRNA from 1 species
CAGUAGCCACGGUAAUACGUAGGGUGCGAGCGUUAAUCGGAAUUACUGGGCGUAAAGCGUGCGCAGGCGGUUCGUUAAGACAGAUGUGAAAUCCCCGGGCUUAACCUGGGAACUGCAUUUGUGACUGACGGGCUAGAGUAUGGCAGAGGGGGGUAGAAUUCCACGUGUAGCAGUGAAAUGCGUAGAGAUGUGGAGGAAUACCGAUGGCGAAGGCAGCCCCCUGGGCCAAUACUGACGCUCAUGCACGAAAGCGUGGGGAGCAAACAGGAUUAGAUACCCCCGUAGUCCCUGUCUCUUAUAA